rnacentral:rRNA from 1 species
AUUACCACACCAAAAAAACUAUCCACGUGAACGUAUACUUAUAUUGGGUUUGUGUUGCUCCUUCGGGAGUGACUAACCGAAGGUUUCGAAAGGAACCGAUGAACUUUUAAUCCCUUUUACUUAAUGUCUGAACCAAUUUGGCAUACAGAAAUGUGUGCUUACAAUUGACAUACAACUUUCAACAGUGGAUGUCUAGGCUCGCACAUCGAUGAAGAACGCUGCGAACUGCGAUACGUAAUGCGAAUUGCAGAAUUCAGUGAGUCAUCAAAAUUUUGAACGCAUAUUGCACUUCCGGGUUAGUCCUGGGAGUAUGCUUGUAUCAGUGUCCGUUAAUACUAAAUUGUUUCAUGUAUUUGAAGCAGAAUGUGAAGUGUCUUGUUUCGACAAGUCCUUUUAAAUGAGUAUUACCUGUGCACCCUUGUGGUUUGUACAAUAUAAAGGUAUUUACAAUUUCGACUUUGGCCGUCCGGUGCUAAGAUGCCCGGCUUGGAAGGAGGAAUGGAUCGCGGUAGUUUUGCUUGUGCUUCGGUGCAGGUGAAUCGUAUUAUUGCUUUUUGUUCUUUUGGAAGGGCCCCGUGUCUGAUCGCUGGAUUCAAUUUCAAGUUGUAUGUACUGGUACAUUCCUUGGUGUAUGGAGGCAAAUUGGGAAACAAAUCCAAUUUGGACCUGAUAUCAAGCAAGACUACCCC